UUAAGCGACUAAGCGUACACGGUGGAUGCCCUGGCAGUCAGAGGCGAUGAAGGACGUGCUAAUCUGCGAAAAGCGUCGGUAAGGUGAUAUGAACCGUUAUAACCGGCGAUGUCCGAAUGGGGAAACCCAGUGUGAUUCGUCACACUAUCGUUAACUGAAUACAUAGGUUAACGAGGCGAACCGGGGGAACUGAAACAUCUAAGUACCCCGAGGAAAAGAAAUCAACCGAGAUUCCCCCAGUAGCGGCGAGCGAACGGGGAGCAGCCCAGAGUCUGAAUCAGCUUGUGUGUUAGUGGAACGGUCUGGAAAGUCCGACGGUACAGGGUGAUAGUCCCGUACACCAAAAUGCACAGGUUGUGAACUCGAAGAGUAGGGCGGGACACGUGGUAUCCUGUCUGAAUAUGGGGGGACCAUCCUCCAAGGCUAAAUACUCCUGACUGACCGAUAGUGAACCAGUACCGUGAGGGAAAGGCGAAAAGAACCCCGGCGAGGGGAGUGAAAAAGAACCUGAAACCGUGUACGUACAAGCAGUGGGAGCACCUUCGGGUGUGACUGCGUACCUUUUGUAUAAUGGGUCAGCGACUUAUAUUCUGUAGCAAGGUUAACCGUAUAGGGGAGCCGCAGGGAAACCGAGUCUUAACUGGGCGUUAAGUUGCAGGGUAUAGACCCGAAACCCGGUGAUCUAGCCAUGGGCAGGUUGAAGGUUGGGUAACACUAACUGGAGGACCGAACCGACUAAUGUUGAAAAAUUAGCGGAUGACUUGUGGCUGGGGGUGAAAGGCCAAUCAAACCGGGAGAUAGCUGGUUCUCCCCGAAAGCUAUUUAGGUAGCGCCUCGUGAAUUCAUCUUCGGGGGUAGAGCACUGUUUCGGCUAGGGGGUCAUCCCGACUUACCAACCCGAUGCAAACUACGAAUACCGAAGAAUGUUAUCACGGGAGACACACGGCGGGUGCUAACGUCCGUCGUGAAGAGGGAAACAACCCAGACCGCCAGCUAAGGUCCCAAAGUCAUGGUUAAGUGGGAAACGAUGUGGGAAGGCACAGACAGCCAGGAUGUUGGCUUAGAAGCAGCCAUCAUUUAAAGAAAGCGUAAUAGCUCACUGGUCGAGUCGGCCUGCGCGGAAGAUGUAACGGGGCUAAACCAUGCACCGAAGCUGUGGCAGCGACACUAUGUGUUGUUGGGUAGGGGAGCGUUCUGUAAGCCUGCGAAGGUGGCCUGUGAGGGUUGCUGGAGGUAUCAGAAGUGCGAAUGCUGACAUAAGUAACGAUAAAGCGGGUGAAAAGCCCGCUCGCCGGAAGACCAAGGGUUCCUGUCCAACGUUAAUCGGGGCAGGGUGAGUCGACCCCUAAGGCGAGGCCGAAAGGCGUAGUCGAUGGGAAACAGGUUAAUAUUCCUGUACUUGGUGUUACUGCGAAGGGGGGACGGAGAAGGCUAUGUUAGCCGGGCGACGGUUGUCCCGGUUUAAGCAUGUAGGCUGGUUAUCCAGGCAAAUCCGGAUAAUCAAGGCUGAGGUGUGAUGACGAGGCACUACGGUGCUGAAGUAACAAAUGCCCUGCUUCCAGGAAAAGCCUCUAAGCAUCAGGUAACAUUAAAUCGUACCCCAAACCGACACAGGUGGUCAGGUAGAGAAUACCAAGGCGCUUGAGAGAACUCGGGUGAAGGAACUAGGCAAAAUGGUGCCGUAACUUCGGGAGAAGGCACGCUGGUGUGUAGGUGAAGUCCCUGCGGAUGGAGCUGAGACCAGUCGAAGAUACCAGCUGGCUGCAACUGUUUAUUAAAAACACAGCACUGUGCAAACACGAAAGUGGACGUAUACGGUGUGACGCCUGCCCGGUGCCGGAAGGUUAAUUGAUGGGGUUAUCCGUAAGGAGAAGCUCUUGAUCGAAGCCCCGGUAAACGGCGGCCGUAACUAUAACGGUCCUAAGGUAGCGAAAUUCCUUGUCGGGUAAGUUCCGACCUGCACGAAUGGCGUAAUGAUGGCCAGGCUGUCUCCACCCGAGACUCAGUGAAAUUGAACUCACUGUGAAGAUGCAGUGUACCCGCGGCAAGACGGAAAGACCCCGUGAACCUUUACUAUAGCUUGACACUGAACAUUGAGCCUUGAUGUGUAGGAUAGGUGGGAGGCUUUGAAGCGUGGACGCCAGUCUGCGUGGAGCCAACCUUGAAAUACCACCCUUUAAUGUUUGAUGUUCUAACGUUGGCCCCUGACCGGGGUUGCGGACAGUGUCUGGUGGGUAGUUUGACUGGGGCGGUCUCCUCCCAAAGCGUAACGGAGGAGCACGAAGGUUAGCUAAUCCUGGUCGGACAUCAGGAGGUUAGUGCAAUGGCAUAAGCUAGCUUGACUGCGAGCGUGACGGCGCGAGCAGGUGCGAAAGCAGGUCAUAGUGAUCCGGUGGUUCUGAAUGGAAGGGCCAUCGCUCAACGGAUAAAAGGUACUCCGGGGAUAACAGGCUGAUACCGCCCAAGAGUUCAUAUCGACGGCGGUGUUUGGCACCUCGAUGUCGGCUCAUCACAUCCUGGGGCUGAAGUAGGUCCCAAGGGUAUGGCUGUUCGCCAUUUAAAGUGGUACGCGAGCUGGGUUUAGAACGUCGUGAGACAGUUCGGUCCCUAUCUGCCGUGGGCGCUGGAGAAUUGAGGGGGGCUGCUCCUAGUACGAGAGGACCGGAGUGGACGCAUCACUGGUGUUCGGGUUGUCAUGCCAAUGGCACUGCCCGGUAGCUAAAUGCGGAAGAGAUAAGUGCUGAAAGCAUCUAAGCACGAAACUUGCCCCGAGAUGAGUUCUCCCUGAGACUUUAAGUCUCCUGAAGGAACGUUGAAGACGACGACGUUGAUAGGCCGGGUGUGUAAGCGCAGCGAUGCGUUGAGCUAACCGGUACUAAUGAACCGUGAGGCUUAACCUU
rnacentral:rRNA from 1 species